AAGGAUUUAAGUUAAUUAAACUAUUAACCUUCAAAGUUAAAAAUAUUUUUUAAGCCUUAGUUCAUC
rnacentral:tRNA from 1 species